rnacentral:rRNA from 1 species
CUACGGGAGGCUCCAGUGGGGAAUAUUGGACAAUGGGGGAAACCCGAUCCAGCAAUGCCGCGUGUGUGAAGAAGGCCUGCGGGUUGUAAAGCACUUUCGGUUGGGAGGACUGCUUCUAGCACUAAUAUUGUUGGAAGUUGACGUUACCUUCAGAAGAAGCACCGGCUAACUCCGUGCCAGAGGCGCGGUAAUACGGAGGGUGCAAGCGGUAAUCGGAAUUACUGGGCGUAAAGCGCGCGUAGGCGGCUAGAUUAGUCGGGUGUGAAAGCCCCGGGCUUAACCUGGGAACUGCAUCCGAUACUGUCUAGCUUGAGUACAGGAGAGGAGAGUGGAAUUCCACAUGUAGCGGUGAAAUGCGUAGAUAUGUGGAGGAACACCAAUGGCGAAGGCAGCUCUCUGGCCUGAUACUGACGCUGAGGUGCGAAAGCGUGGGGAGCAAACAGGAUUAGAUACCCUUGUAGUC